GAGAAAGCUUACUCAAGAAUGUGUUUGAACUGAGAUUUCAAAGAUAACCAGAUCUCGUCUGGGUGAAUGAGUCAGUAGAAGAUAUUCAAGGUACAAGAAUGCCUCACUGGAAGUUCAGAUGUGAGAAUGAGUAUGACACUUUUGAAGAUCUGGAAAAAGACCUGUGUGGCCAGAGAAGAGAGUGAAGGGAAUGCCUUAUUUUGUUUCUUUAGCUGCCUUGAACAAGGUAGUGAUGCUGAGAGAGGCUAUAAAAAAUGUGGCUCUCCAAUCUUGGGAAGCUUAUAUAACUUAGCUCCUAGGAAGCCAAGGACAUAUUCAGCAGGAAGAAACUUGCUGGCUCGGUUAUGGUGAUUCAUGCCAACAAAUCAAAGGAAAACCAUCCUUCUUGGGAUCUGACUAUUCUUGUUGCAUCCUCAUCUUGGACUUCCAGCCUCCAGCACUUUAAGAGAGUAAAUUUCUAUUGUUUUAUGGACCUAUUCUAUUGUAUUUUGCUAUAUAGCCAGAGCUAAGACAAGAGAUAAGCAACAAUUAUUAUUAUUAGAUCAUAGCACUUAAUUAUCAGUGAUGUGUAAAGAGAACAGAGAUGCUGCUAUGAAAGAGCAGAAGGGAAAUAUGGAAGGGUACAGAGAUGCCCAUUGCCAGCAACAAGCUGAGGGUUAAAUUAUGAAUUGCAAGGUAUGAUCAG
rnacentral:lncRNA from 1 species